GGCAGCAUGACCCUGGUAUGGUGACGCAUUGUUUGUAAUCAUCUUUCACGGACACAUAUACACUGAUUAUCGCAUACAUGCAUACAUGAUUCACAAAGGUAAACAAUUGGUUGAGGACGAGUUGUCACAGGAAAAGUGGGAAGGACCGACGCCGUGACGGUAGAGUAGCAUUGGAGGCGCGGUGGCUAAUUGAUCAGCUGGCAGGUAAUCAUGGUGAUGUCUAUUAGUAUACCUGAGCGUUUGGGCACUGGUUCUUUGGCUUUGCUUCUGGAAGGCAGCAGAACGUUGGAGCUGCGAGGAGCGUGUCUGUGUUGGCAUCCCAUUGACGGAAGUGGUGGCGUAUCCAUACCCCACGGGAAACCGGUUGGUAGAGAGACUUCCCUGAGCAUUGGCAUCGCGGAGAGAAAGCGUGCUUUGAGCGAGGGUCGGCAUUGCAGAGAGAAAAUUGACUACGUGUGAAGUUGCGACUACAACCACAUCCUACAAAAAACGGGUGCUUGCUUCAAGACGUCAUAUGAACCGGUGUUUAAUUGUGGGGUGCGGAAACUUCGCGACCAGCCGAAGGUGGAGGUGCCAGUGGGACAAGCUUCUUGGCUGCAGCUCCAGCGUGCGCUGUGGUCACUGUUCUUCUCCCUGGAGAUUUGACUUGGACUGUGCGCGCCCAAUGCGCUUGAGCGUGCGGGUGCGUGUGUGACUGUGUGAGCGUCUGUGCACUGUGCAGUGCAUACACUCGGCGCAGGC